GUGCUUGCUUUGGCAGCACAUAUACUAAAAUUG
rnacentral:snRNA from 1 species